GACGAACGCUGGCGGCGCGCUUAACACAUGCAAGUCGAGCGGUAAGGCCCUUUCGGGGGUACACGAGCGGCGAACGGGUGAGUAACACGUGGGUGACCUGCCUUUAGCUCUGGGAUAAGCCUGGGAAACUGGGUCUAAUACCGGAUACGACUCCGCGGUGCAUGCUGUGGGGUGGAAAGCCUUGUGCGGCUGGAGAUGGGCCCGCGGCCUAUCAGCUUGUUGGUGGGGUGAUGGCCACCAAGGCGACGACGGGUAGCCGGCCUGAGAGGGCGACCGGCCACACUGGGACUGAGACACGGCCCAGACUCCUACGGGAGGCAGCAGUGGGGAAUCUUGCGCAAUGGGCGAAAGCCUGACGCAGCGACGCCGCGUGAGGGAUGACGGCCU
rnacentral:rRNA from 1 species